AUUGAACGCUGGCGGCAUGCUUUACACAUGCAAGUCGAACGGCAGCGCGGGGCAACCUGGCGGCGAGUGGCGAACGGGUGAGUAAUAUAUCGGAACGUACCCAGAAGUGGGGGAUAACGUAGCGAAAGUUACGCUAAUACCGCAUACGAUCUACGGAUGAAAGUAGGGGACCGCAAGGCCUUAUGCUUUUGGAGCGGCCGAUAUCUGAUUAGCUAGUUGGUGAGGUAAAGGCUCACCAAGGCGACGAUCAGUAGCUGGUCUGAGAGGACGACCAGCCACACUGGAACUGAGACACGGUCCAGACUCCUACGGGAGGCAGCAGUGGGGAAUUUUGGACAAUGGGCGCAAGCCUGAUCCAGCAAUGCCGCGUGAGUGAAGAAGGCCUUCGGGUUGUAAAGCUCUUUUGUCAGGGAAGAAACGGUAGAGGCUAAUAUUCUUUGCUAAUGACGGUACCUGAAGAAUAAGCACCGGCUAACUACGUG
rnacentral:rRNA from 1 species